CAAUAAAAACGUAACCAUCUAUAAACUUUCUGCGAUUAGAUAAGUCUCAAUAAAUCACAUGCCUUCACUUCAUUCUUUGUGGGAUAUCGGUCAUGCCGUAUCUUUCUGAAAAUAUUUUCACUCAACUUCUCCUUUUUUUUCUUUCCUCCCCUGCCCUCUCAUCCAACCUUGGGACACAUUCAGAUGAGACACAGUCACAAAAAAUGGGACCGUUAAUCACAGUAGAUUUAGUUCUUAAUGGUAUGCAGACACCAGUCGCCUCCUCCAAAUACUGUGGUCUGACCCCCGUUUGCUCUCUCAAAUAAAAGAAUGGACAGACGGAGUAAAUAUUGACAGCUCUGAGUCACUGCAGAUGACGCCCAACUAGCUCUGUUGCUCCCAUCAUGCUAUCUGCUCCUGUGUUUGCAGCUGCAUUUAAUCACAUUUGUGCGGUGCGUGUAAUUUAUAGUCGUUCUGCACUGUUUGACAAGAAACAGAAGUUUUAUUUUGUUUAGCUUUUUUCUUCUUGGUGACUUCAUGGCUCCAGAAUUGGUUUGAGAUCAGAUUCUGUUCUUAGGAACCAGAAUUACCACAAUGUGGAAAAAAUGUUUCAGAAAAGUCACCCUUUCAAAAUGCUGCUUGUGAAAUAAAUCUCUUGGCUGCAAUCAUAAGGGUUGGAAUGAGAGCAAGUGUUCCCCUGGUUUGUGUAAAGUCACUGUUUUAGAAAAUGACUGGCACAUUUGCAUAUUUCUGAGAUCAUAUGUAGAAACGAUUACGUUUAAGCCCCGGAAAGGAAGCACUAAAUCCAAAGUUGGAUCUGAUGAGCAAGUAAAGCUGUGCAGCUGCAGAAGUGGUGAUGAUGGACGCGAGAAGCUGCAGUUCUAGACUUAGAAAAACAUGUAUGGUGAUUGGAGAUCCAUGAGUUAGUUUUAGGGUAUGUGAUGCUGAAAUUAAAUUUUUUGUCAAAGAGGAAACAUUGCUGUUGUCCACGUCCCAGUCCUCAUAGUCUUCAUAGUUCUCAUCUUCCUACCUGGCUUAGUCCUCAUGCCUGACCCCUGGUCAACAUUGCUGUCAUUGCUCCUUAUUUAUCAUAGCCUUAUCUUUUUCCUUCAAAAGUUCCUCCACUGCCAUUGCUAAAUCGAAAGUUUUAAACUUUACUCAAUUGCUAACAUUUGUCCAUGAAAUUGUAAAUGGACUGUAAAGCGCUUUUCUGAUCAUUUUUACCACUUUGCACAUUCACCCAUUGGUACUCACAUUUAUGCAUUGAUGCGCAGAUCGGUAGGCAACUUUGGGUUAAGUGCCUUGCCCUGAAAUCGAACCUACAACCUACCGAUUACAAGACGACUGCUCUACCAACAGAGCCGCAGUCACCCCAACCAUCUUCCAGUGCGAAGAGAGAAGCGUCGAUCCAAACGAGGCGGCUGUUAUUGUUAAUUCAAUAUCUGGAAGCUUGGCCAACACGGACUGAACGGCGUUGUUCACUUCCUCCACUGCCAUUGCUAAAACGGCGCAGACUAUUCUUCACAACUUCACCUUGUGUUCACCGAUCGGCCCGGUAGAAAAUCAGUACUGUCGUCGUCCUCAAUCUAGUCUUUCUCACAGUAAUUCUCAUCUUGGUUAUUAUUUUCCUCUACGCAGUCGUCACUUGCGUCAUUGAAGUCAUUAAUCCACGUUCUAGUGGUCCUCGUCUUUCUCAUCUUCCUCGUUUCUCAUCCAACUUUGAGUCUUCGGCCAACAGAGCAGCUGCUGCUACAGAGCUGAACGUCUUGGCUGCGGUGGGUUCAUGAACCAGGGGAAGGAAAAUCAGAAAUCAGUGCAAAAUGUUAAUGGUUUUAAGGUUUGAUAGUCAAAUUUUGAUUUUAAAAAAAUAAAUAAACUUUUAAAAAGCAGUAAAUUCUUGAACAAGCACACAUCAGUUUAAUAAAUUCUUAGAUGUUCAAUGUUUAAUAGUCAGAUAUUAUUUUAUAAUUUAGAGAGAAUUUUUUUCAAGCUUCUGCCUGCAGAGUUGUGCCCUUUCCUCCUUUUUAGCUCUGCAGAGUCGGAGACGCCUCGCCCUGCAGCCUGACUCGCCUUCCUCAGUGUGCUCUGCUUCCGCUCCCUCUGGUUCGGCCGAGCCACCGUUUGUGUUUACACAAGUGCGCGCCACAGUCGGGCGGCCGGGGGCCCCGCUCGUAACUUUCUCGCUUUAAAUACUUUCUGUGUGCAUCACCUAGUAAAAUGUGAGCAGGAGGGAAGCUGAAAACGAGGCCUGAUAUUUCCCAAAUGCGACAUCUCUCUCUCUUUCUCCACCUGAAUGACAGCCACUGUUUACUUUUACAUACUUGUGCCUCCAUUUUUUUAUUUUUUUUUAACGGCAGCUGGUGGAUUGUGCGCCUGUCUGUCACCCCCGAGGUCGUGUUUGCUUUUCGUUUUUACUCAAACACGUUUGCACAAUAAACAGAGCGGACGCCGUGUUUGUGUUGUUUGUCUGCAAAACGGCAUGGAGUGGAGAAAGAAUGAGGGAAGCAACGGAGAUGAUUGAGGAGUCUGUCCAGGGGGGGGGGAUUAGGAAAAGCUCCAAAUAUGGUCAAACUAUUACAGUCCCCCCCCGCUGCUCCGCUCGCUGUCCCUCUGGUGUCUUUUUGUUUUUACUCCAACUCGUACUUGUCGGUCGAGCCGGUUUCCUUCUGUCUUCUGCGCGUUCUUGUUUGUGCCAGUCCACUUCUCCAAAUGGUGUUUACACCGGGAGCCGUGACCGUCUCGGCUCUUGUUUUGGAUUUUCUGCUGCAUCAUAACCCGCCGUGGCAGAUGGAAAUAGAAACGGAGAGGAAGUAGCUGCCAGCAGGAGGGAGUGCUCAUGUGGGCGUGCGUGUGUGUGUGUGUGCAAUCACAUCGUCCCUCUUGCACAUUCUUCAGUUCCUUCCUUUUUUUUUUCUGCUAAAGUUGCACAACAAUAUCUCAACAUAACUGAAAAUACUGUGGUUUCUUAGACGCAGGGGAAGCGCAGGCAAGCGCACAAACAGUGACCUCAGAAAACCUCUCUUCCCUUGACUCUGUGCUAAUCAGAUUGAGUGUUUUUAUGCGUUUUAUUUAUUUAUUUGUUGCUUACGUUGCCUUACGAGUACCGCAGUUUAAUCUAGUUGAUGCUUUUCAACAAAUCCGGGGCUUCUGGAGUUGAUUCAUCUACUUCUGGUCUUGAUGUUCAUUGUAAAGGAUAUGGAAGAUUCUGUGUUAUGCUUGUCCCUGCAAAUUGGGAUGUUAAUUUUGAAUGUGGGGGAAGAGGGUCAACAGACAUCAAUCAACGUCCAAUUUGAUUAAAUUCAAUAGUUUUGUGCGUUUUUUUUCUUUCUUGUUUUCCUUUAGAAGGAAAUGUUUGCAUACACUAAAAUUGUUGUCUUUAGAACAGUUGUCGGGCUUUUCUACAUUUCUCAUCAUUAAUUUACAAUAUUUGCUCUGAUGGAGGCGCACUUGCCAAAACAUUUCAGCAAACUAAAGUCGUACAGUUUAAAAGGCAAGUCUAAAACAUGUUCGUUAACAAAUCUGAAAAAUAUGUUUCAUAUUCGGCGCAUGAAAAAAAACAAACAAACUCUGACCUACAGCAGGGUUGUUUUUAAUUUAAUGUCAAUACAGUAAAUAUCUAAUUUUAUCUCUCGUUUCCCGCAGGAGACGGUAAAAUGCUUACACCCGAAGUGUCUCUUGUAACAAACAAAUACAGACACUUAAUUAUACAUUUUAGUCCAAAUGUGGGAGACGUUGCUGCCACACGCAGUAAAUUGACAUCUAGAUAAUGAUUGUUGUUGUUUUUUUUAGUCUAGGUAAAUUGUUGCCUGCGUUGUGCCUUAUAUUUGUAGCGCCAGCUAAACUUGUUCGUUUUUAUAAGUUUAAACCACAAACCUCUGAAGUAUUAUUGGUCAAAUGAGACCAGGAUGUAAAACUUUUUGGCUGACAAAACAAAACAGGACCGAGACUAUUGAGAAUAGUUUGUGUUUUAACGCAGGUUAUCCGUUUGUAUUGCUAGUAGUAGUUAGCAUCAGAAGAGCUAGAAAAUCCCACAGGUUAUCCAAGUUUCAACUGAA